ensembl:lncRNA
AGAAAACUUAUUUCUGUCUUUAAUAUUUGUAAGAUUUCAGUUCAGUUCAGUUCAGUUGCUCAGUCGUGUCCGACUCUUAGCGACCCCAUGCACUACAGCACACCAGGCCUCCCUGUCCAUCACCAACUCCGAGAGUUCACUCAAACUCAUGUCCAUUGAGUUGGUGAUGCCAUCCAACCAUCUCAUCCUCUGUUGUCCCCUUCUCCUGCCCUCAAUCUUUCCCAGCAUCAGGGUCUUUUCAAAUGAGUCAGUUCUUCGCAUCAGGUGGCCAAAGUAUUAGAGUUGCAGCUUCAUCAUCAGUCCUUCCAAUGAAUUUGAAUCUUUCUCCCGGCAAUCUUGAUUCCAGCUUGUGCUUUAUCCAGCCCAGCAUUUCUCAUGAUGUACUCUACAUAUAAGUUAUAUAAGCAGGGCGACAAUAUACAGCCUUGACGUACUCCUUUCCUGAUUUGGAACCAGUCUGUUGUUCCAUGUCCAGUUCUAACUGUUGCUUCCUGACCUGCAUACAGGUUUCUCAAGAGGCACUCAAGUGGUCUGGUAUUCCCAUCUCUUUCAGAAUUUUCUACAGUUUGUUGUGAUCCACACAGUCAAAGGCUUUGGCAUAGUCAAUAAAGCAGAAAUAGAUGUUUUUCUGGAACUCUUUUGCUUUUUUGAUGAUCCUGUGGAUGUUGGCAAUUUGAUCUCUGGUUCCUCUGCCUUUUCUAAAACCAGCUUGAACAUCUGGGAGUUCAUGGUUCACAUACUGUUGAAGCCUGGCUUGGAGAAUUUUGAGCAUUACUUUACUAGCGUGUGAGUUGAGUGCAAUUGUGUGGUAGUUUGAGCAUUUUUUGGCAUUGCCUUUCUUAGGGAUUGGAACGAAAACUAACCUUUUCCAGUCCUGUGGCCACUGCUAGUUUUCCAAAUUUUUGGCAUAUUGAGUGCAGCACUUUCAUAACAUCAUCUUUAAGGGUUUGAAAUAGCUCCACUGGAAUUCCAUCACCUCCACUAGCUUUGUUCUUGGUGGUGCUUGGUGAAGCCCACUUGACUUCACAUUCCAGUAUGUCUGGCUCUAGUAAAUACUGUAGAACAACGGAAUCCACAGUUGGUUGAAUCCCUGGGUGCUAAAACCACAGAUAUGGAGGAGCAAUAUACAUGGAGAGCUAACUAUAAGUCAUGAGUCUUUUCUUCAUUAUGUGACGAUGUAGUCUCCUGAGAGUCUGUACCUCUUGCUUGAAGCAUUCUGCUCAGGGCAGAUAUGAUGAACUCUUCAGCUAGGAGGUGCCUGGUUGGAUUUUUCUUCUAGAUCAAAGCAUGCAUCUGGAAUCAUUAGGGGAAAUGCCACAUAAAUCACUGAGUCAGUGAUAUCCCUGGAAUGCAGCACUUGCCUCCAUCUGAAAGGGUCUCAGUCUUCAGUGAGGGGAAGCCACGGACGUAGACCUGCUGAAGGCUGGCCCUAGAAGAUGGUUUUCACCCUACCUCAUGUUCAGUGUGGGAAGUAGGACAAAGGAUUUUAG